rnacentral:rRNA from 1 species
UGGGGAAUAUUGAACAAUGGGCGCAAGCCUGAUGCAGCCAUGCCGCGUGUAUGAAGAAGGCCGUCGGGUUGUAAAGUACUUUCAGCGGGGAGGAAGGCGAUAAGGUUAAUAACCUUGUAGAUUGACGUUACCCGCAGAAGAAGCACCGGCUAACUCCGUGCCAGCAGCCGCGGUAAUACGGAGGGUGCAAGCGUUAAUCGGAAUUACUGGGCGUAAAGCGCACGCAGGCGGGCUGUCAAGUCGGAUGUGAAAUCCCCGGGCUCAACCUGGGAACUGCAUUCGAAACUGGCAGGCUAGAGUCUUGUAGAGGGGGGUAGAAUUCCAGGUGUAGCGGUGAAUUGCGUAGAGAUCUGGAGGAAUACCGGUGGCGAAGGCGGCCCCCUGGACAAAGACUGACGCUCAGGUGCGAAAGCGUGGGGAGCAAACA